UGUGUUGACAUCCCAAGUGUAGGAUGACUUUCUCGUGAAUUUGUCUUUCAACAUGAUAGGUACUAAUGUGUCUCUUCCCUAAAGAUAUUAGAGUGAAAUUUUGGCAGGAGGAGCAUGCAAUACUAUAAAUGCUCCCCAAACCAAAAUGUUGUUCAUCUACACAGUUUUUUAAAUGCAGUGGCUGGUGGCAUGUAGUGCAUCCUCGAUAGAGUUGUCCUGCCAUAAAUCCAAUUUCCACCACUCGUCUGCCUUCUUUCCAAUUUAUUUUUCGAGGAUUUUCUGUUUAAAAAUUGUAUUUCAUUUUUCAUUUUGAUAACUUAGCUAUUUCUAUAAACUCAUUAUCUUGAGAUAAAAUAUUUACUAAAACAAUUUAAAUCAUUUUUUUCAUAUUAAACAAAAUUUUCUUACCAUGGAAAUAUUGUUCACCUUCAGUGUCAGUGUCUGAUUUCGUUGUUAUCCGCCCAUGCUGUUUAGGAUGAGUUGUAUCCUUUUCACUAUGUAAAACAAAGGAAAAAACAUCAUUACGUUAUGGGUUAUGGACUAUAUUAAUUUAUCACUAUGUGAAUACGAAAAUUAAUAUUUGUACUUUUGAUUUUAUAAAAAAAAACAAAUUCCAAAUUCAAUACCAUUACCUGGAAGAUAUUACAGAGUGGUUACAGUCAUUUGGCGGAAUUUCAAACACCGGUGCUGCCGUUAAACUCACGCAUUUCAUAUGGUGUUUCUUCUUGGAGGAGUAUGAAUGGUCAUGUAACGCAUGCACUUUAGAUACAUCUUUUGCGUUGUUGUUGUUUAAAUCGCAAGUCUGUGUUUGACCCACGAGUCGGCCAUUCUUGUCUCUUCGUUUAUCAACUUUCCGACUGUUUGUCUUCGCCAUUGUUGUUGUCAGGCACUAUUAUUACCUUACUUGUGAAAAGAACGGGUUUUACGAAAGAUAACUCUUCCAGUACGAUGUAAGAGUUAUAGAACAUUGAAGUGAAAAUCCUUUUUGUGUAGAGAUAAAAACGCUUUAAAAUGGCAGCAACCCCCCAUCGUUAAGUGAAAUGUACAGAUAACAAUACCAUUGUUUCAUAGAUUUAGCUUAUAAAAUAGUGGAAAACAGGCACAUUAAAUAAUAUCAAUUUAAUUUUAAGCAGGCAAUUGAAAGCGGGAAUAAACAUUUUUGUAAUAAGAUAAGACCUUGGUCUAAUAAAUACAAUCAAAAUUAGCUUGGGUAUAUUCACUGGCUUUAACUUACAACUAUUUGAAGUUACCGCUUUUCCACAAAAUCCAACUUAAAGUUACUUCCGUGUGUUGACUCUUCUGUAUUGAAGUACAAAACAAAGACGUCACAACAACAUUGCAAAAGCAGACGUUGGGAAAACAUAGAUCAAAUGGGGUGGAGAAAGCAUGUGAUUAAGUUUUAUGUAUUUAGAGUUAGUCUCUAAUGAAUUGGUGAAUAUGAAAUGAACCAUGCUCUAUUUGGGAUUUAGCUUAACUACCGAUCUGUGCUGUAUUCAAACCUUUUGUAAACACCUGACUGUCUUGUACACAAUGAUCAAGUGAAAAGGACAGCGUUUUCCUCUACAUAAGUUUCGGUAAUCUGACAUACGAAUCCAGCACUCAACCAAGGAAGCUAAUGAGCUACCAACCUGCAACACUUAUAUAGGAAUGCAAAACAAUUAAACACCCCCACCCCGGACUGAUGGUGUGGAAAGAAUCGCAGUGUGUACUCUUCUAGAGUGUCAACCCAUGAUGAGCAUAGUUCUGAGGUACCCACAGCAAUUACAAAAAUCCAUCAUUGCCAUGCAUUUUAUAUGUGAAAGUCAGAUCUGGUGCCAAUAAUGUGGUUUGAUUAAAUUAACCUCAAAUCUCUGGAAUAUACAUGUAUAUGUUUAAAAACCUCAUGAACAAGCGAAGAAAUAGGAUCAUAAAAAGGCCGUCUAUGGAGAUAAGAUGCAGUUCAUGGCAGUCCUUAUUCCAAUUGGUCAAGGAUUAUGUGUAUGCUGCGGAAACAAAUGAAUUUGACUCUUAUCAUCACAACAGAGUCUGUCAAAGGGAGACAUAAAACAGAAAAUAUCCAAGAAGGGUUGCAGUGACAUGUACAACCUCUUGAUAUCAAAGAAAAGAACAUCCAAAAUCAGAAAAAAGAAAUUGAUGUCAGAAAUCGAAUUAACUCAAAAACAAUGGAGGGAAAUUUAUAGUCUGCCCUUUAAGUGCACAAAGGAUUCAAAAUUACUGUGGCUUCAAUACCAACUAUUACAUAGGAUCUUGCCAAUCAAUUAUCAUUUACAUUAGUAGGGAUUGUAAAUUCUCCAUUGUGUUACUUUUGUCAACAGACCCCUGAGAGCAUAGAACAUAUUUUUGUUGACUGUUAUUUAGUGAAGGAAAUUUGGAUUGAUUUGUAGAAAUGGAUGACAGAUAUCUUUGGUUUACAAACAAAUUUUGACAAAUAUUCAAUCAUUUUGGAAAAUUUGAAAAUAGAGGUAGUCAUAGGUUGGAAAAUUUAAUCAUUCUUUUCACAAAACAAUGCAUUCUGCAAACUAAAAUGAAAACAUCAAGGCUAAAUGUAAAACGCAUUAAGAAAUCUAUAACCAGAAGACUG